UACGGGGGGGUAAGCGUUGUUCGGAUUUACUGGGCGUAAAGGGCGCGUAGGCGGCAUGACAAGUCACUUGUGAAAUCUCCGGGCUUAACUCGGAACGGCCAAGUGAUACUGUCACGCUAGAGUGCAGAAGGGGCAAUCGGAAUUCUUGGUGUAGCGGUGAAAUGCGUAGAUAUCAAGAGGAACACCUGAGGUGAAGACGGGUUGCUGGGCUGACACUGACGCUGAGGCGCGAAAGCCAGGGGAGCAAACGGG
rnacentral:rRNA from 1 species